rnacentral:rRNA from 1 species
UACAGAGGGUGCGAGCGUUAAUCGGAAUUACUGGGCGUAAAGCGUGCGUAGACGGCUAUCUAAGUCGGGCGUGAAAGCCCCGGGCUCAACCUGGGAAUUGCGAUGAAGACUGCAAGGCUUGAAUCUGGCAGAGGGGGGUAGAAUUCCACGUGUAGCAGUGAAAUGCGUAGAGAUGUGGAGGAACACCGAUGGCGAAGGCAGCCCCCUGGGUCAAGAUUGACGCUCAUGCACGAAAGCGUGGGGAGCGAACAGG